GAGGACUGACUCGAUUUUGAAAGAAGUUCUACUGUGGGUAAAAUGCUAUCAAACAGCAUCACAUGCUACAGAGAAAUCGUUCAUGAAAGGAGAAGUCAAUCGGUGUGGCAGACUUCAUUGUUGUCUAUUUUAGGAAAUUUCCACAGCCACCCCAGCCUUCAGCAGCCACCACCCUGAUCAGUCAGCAGCCAUCAAUAUCAAGGCAAGAUCCUCCGCCAGCAAAAAGAUUACAGCUCGCUGAAGGCUAGGAUGAUGAUGAGGCGGUGCCCGAGUGGCAGAGCGGCGGCCCGCACUGGGCCUGGCUCCGGUACCUCGUCUAUGGCAGAUUCUUCGAUCAGUCGGGGAGCAUCUGAAGACAACAAGCCAUGAGUCGCCAUCACGAAGAUCUUAUAUGCACCUCUUUCCUUCAGGGUCUCUGCCGCAGCCAGAAAGCUGUCAACAUCAUCGAUAAUGUCAUCCUGUCAAAUUACAGAUGGAGCAAAAGGUACAUGAACACCUUCACAAAGGCCUCUCACAGGGAGCUCCUCCUGCACGGCACUGCCUUCCACAGCUGUCUCUCCACCCCAGGGCUCCCUGGGGUCUGCGUCUACUUAGCCCUGCUGUCCAGAACCGUGCCCCACCGUGCAGGCGCUCCACAGAGGCUCGCCAAAUGCUUUCUUCUAAUUCGCAGUAAAACUGGUGGAAGAUG